rnacentral:rRNA from 1 species
GUGCCGCAGCCGCGGUAAUACGGAGGGUGCGAGCGUUGUCCGGAUUUAUUGGGUUUAAAGGGUGCGUAGGCGGCUCUUUAAGUCAGUGGUGAAAGCCCGCAGCUUAACUGCGGAACUGCCAUUGAUACUGGAGAGCUUGAGUACGGUUGAAGUAGGCGGAAUUUAUGGUGUAGCGGUGAAAUGCAUAGAUACCAUAAAGAACACCGAUAGCGUAGGCAGCUUACUAAGCCGUAACUGACGCUGAGGCACGAAAGCAUGGGGAGCGAACAGGAUUAGAUACCCUGGUAGUCC